UACGUAGGGUGCAAGCGUUAUCCGGAAUUAUUGGGCGUAAAGAGCCCGUAGGCGGUUUGUCGCGUCUGCUGUGAAAACUGGAGGCUCAACCUCCAGCCUGCAGUGGGUACGGGCAAACUAGAGUGCGGUAGGGGAGAUUGGAAUUCCUGGUGUAGCGGUGAAAUGCGCAGAUAUCAGGAGGAACACCGGUGGCGAAGGCGGUUCUCUGGGCCGAUACUGACACUGAGGAGCGAAAGCGUGGGGAGCGAACAGG
rnacentral:rRNA from 1 species